rnacentral:rRNA from 1 species
ACUACGGGUGGCAGCAGUGAGGAAUAUUGGUCAAUGGACGCAAGUCUGAACCAGCCAUGCCGCGUGCAGGAAGACGGCUCUAUGAGUUGUAAACUGCUUUUGUACGAGGGUAAACGCAGAUACGCGUAUCUGUCUGAAAGUAUCGUACGAAUAAGGAUCGGCUAACUCCGUGCCAGCAGCCGCGGUAAUUCGGAGGAAGCAAGCGUUAUCCGGAUUUAUUGGGUUUAAAGGGUGCGUAGGCGGUCGGAUUAGUUAGAGGUGAAAACCCGAGGCUCAACUUCGGAAUUGCCUCGGAAACUGUUCGUCUAGAGAGUAGUUGCGGUAGGCGGAAUGUAUGGUGUAGCGGUGAAAUGCAUAGAGAUCAUACAGAACCCCGAUUGCGAAGGCAGCUUACCAAGCUACUUCUGACGUUGAGGCACGAAAGCGUGGGUAGCAAACAGGAUUAGAUACCCCAGUAGUC